rnacentral:tRNA from 1 species
GGGGAUGUAGCUCAGUGGUAGAGCAUUUGCUUAGCAUAUAUGAAGCUCUAUGUUGCAUCCCCA